ACAAUAUUUUGCUGCCCAUAUUGUUCCUGGUUGUUAACAAUAUUGUUCAGCAUUGUCCAGGAACAACAUGGGCAGCAAAAUAUUGUUC